UGGGGAAUCUUGGACAAUGGGGGCAACCCUGAUCCAGCCAUGCCGCGUGGACGAUGAAGGCCCUAGGGUUGUAAAGUCCUUUCACCGGUGAAGAUAAUGACGGUAGCCGGAGAAGAAGCCCCGGCUAACUCCGUGCCAGCAGCCGCGGUAAUACGGAGGGGGCUAGCGUUGUUCGGAAUUACUGGGCGUAAAGCGCGCGUAGGCGGAUUGUUAAGUCGGGGGGUGAAAUCCCGGGGCUCAACCCCGGAACUGCCUUUCGAUACUGGCAAUCUAGAGAUCUGGAGAGGCGAGUGGAAUUCCGAGUGUAGAGGUGAAAUUCGUAGAUAUUUGGAGGAACACCAGUGGCGAAGGCGGCUCACUGGCUCGAUACUGACGCUGAGGUGCGAAAGUGUGGGG
rnacentral:rRNA from 1 species